rnacentral:rRNA from 1 species
GGNAUUGCCCCAGUAACGGCGAGUGAAGCGGCAACAGCUCAGAUUUGAAAUCUGGCCCCCGUACCGCGCGGGCCCGAGUUGUAAUCGUGAGAGGAUGCUUUUGGCGAGGCGCCUUCCGAGUUCCCUGGAACGGGACGCCGCAGAGGGUGAGAGCCCCGUCGGGUCGGCCGCCUAGCCUCCACACAAAGCUCCUUCGACGAGUCGAGUAGUUUGGGAAUGCUGCUCUAAUGGGGAGGUAUAUGUCUUCCAAAGCUAAAUACCGGCCAGAGACCGAUAGCGCACAAGUAGAGUGAUCGAAAGAUGAAAAGCACUUUGAAAAGAGAGUUAAACAGUACGUGAAAUUGUUGAAAGGGAAGCGCUCAUGACCAGACUUGGGCCGGGCGGAUCAGCCGGCGGUCCUCCGCCGGCGCACUCCGCCGGGUCCAGGCCAGCAUCAGUUCGCGCCGGGGGACAAAGGCGGCGGGAACGUGGCUCCCCCAGGGGAGUGUUAUAGCCCGCCGCGCAAUGCCCCGGGGCGGACUGAGGCCCCGCGCGUCUCGACGCAAGGAUGCUGGCGUAAUGGUCAUCAGUGACCCGUCUUGAAACACGG